CUUGAGGUAAAAUCCUGGAGAAUCAAAGAGGAGUUGGUGAUAGCAGUUAUGAAUCAGUAUGCCAGAGACAGUAAGAGAGCACAGGACUGGAGAGACAAAACGCACCAUUGGAGGCAAA